CAGCAGCUGCUGCUUGCACCCGCUGCUGGCGCUAGCCCCAAUCACUUUGUGUUGUCAGUGGGUGCGAGCAGGGCAGGCGCUG